rnacentral:rRNA from 1 species
UGGGGAAUAUUGGACAAUGGGCGCAAGCCUGAUCCAGCCAUGCCGCGUGAGUGAUGAAGGCCCUAGGGUUGUAAAGCUCUUUCACCGAUGAAGAUAAUGACGGUAACCGGAGAAGAAGCCCCGGCUAACUUCGUGCCAGCAGCCGCGGUAAUACGAAGGGGGCUAGCGUUGUUCGGAUUUACUGGGCGUAAAGCGCACGUAGGCGGACUUUUAAGUCAGGGGUGAAAUCCCGGGGCUCAACCCCGGAACUGCCUUUGAUACUGGAAGUCUUGAGUAUGGUAGAGGUGAGUGGAAUUCCGAGUGUAGAGGUGAAAUUCGUAGAUAUUCGGAGGAACACCAGUGGCGAAGGCGGCUCACUGGACCAUUACUGACGCUGAGGUGCGAAAGCGUGGGGAGCAAACAGG